GUAUGCUGCCCGACACAGGCGCAUCCGACCCGUGCUCCACGAGGCGAAUCAUUCCUGACAGCAUCCACCGGCUCAAAGAUGCAUGCCGCGUCAGCAACGAGGGUAAUUCCGUCUUAUGGGAAAUCGAGCAGUCAGGGUAUUUUGGUAAUUGUACAUAGGAGGCGAGAAGGACCGAUGGAGAGAGCGAGAAAGAUCAGAGCGCUUUGACAACAGGGAGGAAAGAAGCUGCGAGUGGAAAGAGAGAGAGGGAGAGAGAAAACAAAAAACCAAGAAAAAAAAAAAAAAA